GGAUGAGCCUGCGUUGGAUUAGCUAGUUGGUGGGGUAAGGGCCCACCAAGGCUACGAUCCAUAGCUGAUUUGAGAGGAUGAUCAGCCACAUUGGGACUGAGACACGGCCCAAACUCCUACGGGAGGCAGCAGUGGGGAAUAUUGGACAAUGGGGGCAACCCUGAUCCAGCAAUGCCAUGUGUGUGAAGAAGGCCCUAGGGUUGUAAAGCACUUUAGUUGGGGAGGAAAGCCUCAAGGUUAAUAGCCUUGGGGGAGGACGUUACCCAAAGAAUAAGCACCGGCUAACUCCGUGCCAGCAGCCGCGGUAAUACGGGGGGUGCAAGCGUUAAUCGGAAUUACUGGGCGUAAAGGGUCUGUAGGUGGUUUGUUAAGUCAGAUGUGAAAGCCCAGGGCUCAACCUUGGAACUGCAUUUGAUACUGGCAAACUAGAGUACGGUAGAGGAAUGGGGAAUUUCUGGUGUAGCGGUGAAAUGCGUAGAGAUCAGAAGGAACACCAAUGGCGAAGGCAACAUUCUGGACCGAUACUGACACUGAGGGACGAAAGCGUGGGGAUCAAACAGGAUUAGAUACCCUGGUAGUCCACGCUGUAAACGAUGAGUACUAGCUGUUGGAGUCGGUGUAAAGGCUCUAGUGGCGCAGCUAACGCGAUAAGUACUCCGCCUGGGGACUACGGCCGCAAGGCUAAAACUCAAAGGAAUUGACGGGGACCCGCACAAGCGGUGGAGCAUGUGGUUUAAUUCGAUGCAACGCGAAGAACCUUACCUGGUCUUGACAUCCUGCGAACUUUCUAGAGAUAGAUUGGUGCCUUCGGGAACGCAGUGACAGGUGCUGCACGGCUGUCGUCAGCUCGUGU
rnacentral:rRNA from 1 species